GCGGCUGUGGCGGAACUGGUAGACGCGCAGCGUUGAGGUCGCUGUGGAGUAAAAUCCGUGGAAGUUCGAGUCUUCUCAGCCGCACCA
rnacentral:tRNA from 1 species